rnacentral:rRNA from 1 species
UACAGAGGUCUCAAGCGUUGUUCGGAUUCAUUGGGCGUAAAGGGUGCGUAGGCGGCGCGGUAAGUCGGGUGUGAAAUCUCGGAGCUUAACUCCGAAACUGCAUUCGAUACUGCCGUGCUUGAGGACUGGAGAGGAGACUGGAAUUUACGGUGUAGCGGUGAAAUGCGUAGAUAUCGUAAGGAAGACCAGUGGCGAAAGGCGGGUCUCUGGACAGUUCCUGACGUGAGGCACGAAGGUCAGGGGGAGCAAACGGG